rnacentral:rRNA from 1 species
GACGAACGCUGGCGGCGUGCUUAACACAUGCAAGUCGAACGGAAAGGCCUGCUUUCCCUUGUGGAUUGCGGGUACUCGAGUGGCGAACGGGUGAGUAACACGUGAGUGAUCUGCCCCCAACUUGGGUAUAAGCCUGGGAUACUGGGUCUAAUUCCCGAUAGGACUGCAGGGUGGUGCCUGUGGUGGAAAACGAUUUUCUAGUGGUUGGGGAUGAGCUCGCGGCCUAUCAGCUUGUUGGUGGGGUAAUGGCCUACCAAGGCGGCGACGGGUAGCCGGCCUGAGAGGGUGGACGGCCACAUUGGGACUGAGAUACGGCCCAGACUCCUACGGGAGGCAGCAGUGGGGAAUAUUGCACAAUGGGCGGAAGCCUGAUGCAGCGACGCCGCGUGGGGGAUGACGGCCUUCGGGUUGUAAACUCCUUUCGACCGCGAGGAAGCCACCUGGUUGGAAGGGUGGUGACGGUAGUGGUAGAAGAAGCACCGGCUAACUACGUG